ACGCUCGACACCUACGGGAAGCAGCAGUGGGGAAUAUUGCACAAUGGGGGAAACCCUGAUGCAGCGACGCCGCGUGAGCGAAGAAGUAUUUCGGUAUGUAAAGCUCUAUCAGCAGGGAAGAAACUGACGGUACCUGACUAAGAAGCACCGGCUAAAUACGUGCAGCAGCCGCGGUAAUCUGAGCGGGCUGGCAAGGC
rnacentral:rRNA from 1 species